GGCCGUGUAGCUCAAUGGCAGAGCGUCUGACUACGAUGAGUUAUUAUUACCCAAUAUCCUUAUCUACGUAAUCAGAAGGUCGCAGGUUCGACCCCUGUCUCGGUCA
rnacentral:tRNA from 1 species